AUAAAUUAAUAAUUAUAUAUUUAUAACCAUGUAAUAUACAAAUUUAAUAGAGAAAACCAGUAGCGUCGAUGUUCAUUCUAAGUUAUAUUAAAAAAUGUUAAACUUUAUACAAACGCCUAUACCGUCGAUUAUUAUUUUUUCCCCUUUAUGAAUCCAACAAAAACUUUUUUUAUCAACGUUUAAAAUGAGUAAAUAAUAUAAAAGUUAAUAGUUGCAAAUAAAAUAUAUGAGUAAUAAAUAUUUUUUAAUCAAAAUUAAAUUAAUUUUUUUAAGUUGUAAUUAACAAAGGUAGGUAGGUAUUUUUGAAAAAUAAUCCGUUCAACUACUUAUUAUGGAUGUAUGUAUUUGUAUUUUGUGUAAGUAAAUAGAUAAUAACUAAUAAGUAAUAUCGUAUUGUCGUGUAUGAAUAUUAAAUGUUAGUGUCGUGUAUGUAACUUAAAAUCAUAUAAAUAAUUAUUAUCUUCAAGUAAAAAUUUAAAUCAAGUCAUUAAUACUUGCUUCUAUAGUUGUGUAGGUACCACAACCAUCCACCACCCACUCAAAACAAUUAUAGCGGCUGCAUACAUUCAUUAUUAUUACUAUUCAUUGGUACUAUCACACACAUUAAUCGGAUUCAAUUAUCUUUAAAGUCUCUUUUUAUGCUUUUAAGCUUUUUUGAUCUUGAAUCGCUUUAUCUUUUAAAAUUGUUAAAUUAUUGAUAGGUAUUGAUCUUAAUUAAUUAAUUAAUUCAAUUAUUCAUCAUUACGAGUAGGUAUGCAUAGUCCAAAGAUAUUACUAUAAUAACUCCAAAACAAAAUACCGUAUAUACAUGCAAUUUUAACUGGUUGUUUAUACUAUAAAUUUCUAUACACGAUCAAUAUUUUGAUUUGUUCAGGGACAUUUUCAGUUUCAAAUUUUUUAGUUUUUUUUUUCUGUGAUUGUCAAUAAAAUUGUAUAUGUUGGCUAAAAAAGCAGUAUUUUUUGUCCGGUACGAGCUUGUCUUUGUCAGUACUGUAUAAAGGCUGCCAUCCGUGGUCAACUUGAACCUGUCGUGCAAUAAUUUCACAUGGGAAUACAGCGAGGGCCUAAUUCAAUAAUGUUAUACAAAUUUUCUACCAGAAGGAGUGCUUUGAUUUCAACAUAUAGUAUCUUAUAUAUUAGCAAAUUGGACCAAGAUGGUACCUACUUUAAAGAGGUUGCCGUGGACUUACUCGUCGACGACGAUUAUCUUGUCGCGCUUGCAGCAUUUGUUGACACACGUGUAACCAUCUUGACCACAGUACUGGUCGCGUGGCCGGCACGUCCGGGCCGUGAGCUCAU